rnacentral:lncRNA from 1 species
AAAAAUGGCUAAAGAUCUGUAACAUCUCAAAUAUUCUUAACUCAUACUCAUGUGAAUCUAGUUCGAUGUGCACUAGAUUCACACUUUCAUCAAAAGCAUGGUUAUACAUAGCAAACAUAAAUAAGAUGAAAACGAUUAUAAACUACAUCUACUUUAGUUACACCAGCCGACCGGCCAAAUAAAUAAUAGAACAGCGGAAGCUUGUCUACCCAAUGCACACCGACUAGGGGUUUACCCCAUUAAGUUUAAGUCUUAGAAGAAGCAGUCGAUUACCCGCAUCACUCAAAGACUAAGUCUAAACCUACAAACAAAAGGUUAAUUCAACAGCAAGAGUCAGUACAUUAUUAGAAAUAAUGUACUGGCAAGCACCAAGACAAGCCUAACACUCUACUUGCAAGGCAUAUAAUCAAGGAAGGCAUGAUAUGUUUCUUUUUAGCAUAAAAAAGUUUUAUUUGCAUAAAACAUUUCCAAAUCAGAUUUGCUUUCAAAUAAAUUUUACCAAGCAAGUACUUGACAUAUUGGGCAUCAAAGUAGUCAUUAAUCAUGUAUAAAUAUACACCUCAUUGCCAUCCAUGGCACCAAGGAGAUCAUUCUCAAAUCUCAUCACAUUUUCAAGUUAAAUUUCAGCAUUUAGAAGAAUAAACACAAGUCUAUAUUCAAUACAUAUCCACAUGCCGCUCAUGACCAUGAGCACGGCUAAUCGAUUAAUUUUAACUCUGCAGAGUUUGUACACUUUACCCAAAUGAUACGAAAUAAUAAUCAUGCAAGAGCAUGACACGCGAUACAUAAGUACCCGAUUUAUUACCCGCAACAAAGCUUUUCUAAAAUUCCUGAUUUAGCCUUACACCAGCACGAUACGUGUUCCUCCAUCCUAGUCAUACUGGAAAUAUGACCUAGAACCGUUAAGUGGCAGGCCCACGCCUUAAACUUAAUGCCGUGGUGGCGGACACAACGGGAACCCACCUCGUGGCACAAUACCGUUGUAUUGGACACGCUUAGUCACCUAAACUACCACUUCGGGGUAAAUAGGAAGCUCCUCUGAAUUAUACGAACUCAUACACACCGGCGUACCAGAAUGUAAGGAUAAACCAUAAAUAAUUUACUAAGCUUGGGCUAUCCCAUACUAGCACAUGUAGUUGUACUAUAUACAAAAUAAACUGACAUUGAGUGAAGUCCUUAGGUCGGUUUGGGCACACUCUCCCCCUAUCGGUACACAACUAAUCACCAUAUGUGCACCACUUGAGGCCCAAACCUAAAAUCCAUGUUUUCCACCAUUUUAUUUAUCAAAAUCACAAGUAUUAAAGUUCUGUCCAGAUUAUUUAAAAAUCAAUUUUCAUGUUUGUAAUGAGCCCAUAAUGACAAGGAAGACAAUUCUAAGCAUGGCUAAACAUUAUAGUAACCUACUGUCACCAAAACUCAUAUAUAAAGUGGUAUAGUCAUAUUGUUACUAAGGUUAGGAAUGAGGGAUAUGGAUAUAUGUGGAGUUAAGGUGAUAAUGCAAGUAGUAGUAGUUUGUCUAACAAGUUUAACAAGAUUUUAAUUUAUUAGUGUGCAAUCGACAUGCAAGAUUUGCAUACAUUUUCAAUAACCUCCAAAACAUAAGUUCAAAGUGAUCAAAGAGGGGGAGGUGGGACUUGCCUUGAAACUGGAAAAUGUCAGCACCUAAUUCACUUCUUCACCGAUUAAGCAAUUAUCUAUAUAAAGUACACGCUAUACAAUUAAACACCGAAAUAUGCGAAAAAUCUAAAAUGCUCUAAAAUGCAUGAUUUGUGCACAGUGGAUAGGUACUGGUCUAAGAUGAAUUUAGAUGAAAGAAUUUCUAUUUUAUCUCUUUUUAUUUGGGAGUUAUGAAUUUUAGAAGUUUGCUCGGUAUAGUAUAGAAUUUACUUAGGUACUAUUGUGAAAUACUGUUGUAAGGUGAUUCUUAUUAAGUUUAUGUUUGCUGGGGUAAAUAUAUGUGUUUUCUAAGACCAACACAUUUGGUUUCAUAAGUUUUGGAGUUAAUGUGAAUUCUUUAUGUAUUUUAAAAGUUAUAACGUGUUAUAGGUGUAUAGUGUUGUAUAGGUUCAUGUCUUUAGAGGUUUAGGUCCAGAACUUGCCUCAUCUAGCUAGUGAUAAAUAAAAUGAGUAUUUUAGUUAACUAAUCUAACCUUAGUUCAUAAGCUUAUGGUUUUUAUUAUCAUGGUUCAUAUUUUUAUAAACUAGGGGAGCUAAGUUCUUCUAAGUUUUGGUGUAUGGGGAUGGAACUAUGGCUCCACUGGUCCUAACAAGUUUUAUUUGGAUUUAUUUGGAGCUACCAUGCAUAUAUUAUACUUAUUCAUAUGUAUUGUUUAACCACUACUAUGUGUUUAGUACCUAUUCUACCAAAUUAUGGUUUAGAGCUAUGGUCUGUACAGAGGGUGCUAUAAUUCACUCUACUAGGUUGAAGUAUAUUACUUGCUGGUUCUAUAGAAAUUUGGUUCACUUCAUUUAGACUAUAGAUGAAUUUUCUACAAAUGUUACAAUUUAAUGUAUGCUCCAUGUUGCUUAUUCCUUACAUAAAUGCUUAGGGGUUUUUAUUAUACUGUAAGUAUGUCUUUUUAUUUUAUAACAUUGAAGUGCACAACUCUAUGAUUCUACAGAACUUGAGUUUACUCAAAAAGGAUCUAAGAUGAAUUUUAUAUUAACUUCUAAAGUUCUGCUUAUGCAGAACUAGUUAUUUUAAAUAUAAUAGUUUUAGAUGCAUUUGAUGUAAAGUGUGUAUAUGUUUUAUUUUACUUUUUUUUUGAUAACAUGUUGGUGGAUCUGUAGAAACUAAGUUUGCUCUAAAUGAGUAUUUUGUAUGCAUUUUAUAAUCCUGUGCAUGUUUUAUAUGUGAUUUUUCUUAGAUAAAUUUUAGAGACAGAAAUUGUACUGUGAGUGCAAGUUUUUAUGCAAUAACACUAAAGAUCAUGAUUUUAUGAGUUAACAGUAAUUUGAAUUACUCUAAAAUGAGUUGUUUUCAAUUUGUUAUGGAUUUACAAGUUUACAUGUUUUUCUGUUGAAAAUAUAAAGCUUUAGGCAUUUCAUUUAGAUUUUUCAAGAAUUUAAAUAGAUUGGGUCCACAGGUUAGUCUCAGGCCAAUAUGCAAAAAGGCCCAUAGGGCUUAAGGAAAUCAAGCCACAGUCCUAAGUCCAUAUGUCAUUGAGUGGAAACAUUACACAUUGAACCUUAUAGUUGUUUAAAUUCUCAAAAUGAGGUUCCUGACUUCUUUUUCACACGCAUAGGGACAGAGCAGCCAUGGCUGAGCUCGAUCCCGGGCUCACCGGCGGCGAUUGGUGGCUCGGUUGGAGUUGGGGUUAAAAGAUAAAAUGAAGAGCAUGUUCUUGUGAAUCCAUUUCUCUAGUUUUCUUGGUUAGGGGACAUCGGAGUAGCGCCAGCGGCGAGUCCGAGUAGAGGAUGUUUUCGGGUGGUGGUGCAUGUGCUUCUACAAUCAUGUAUUGGUUAAUUGGGUGCAUGCAUGUAUGUUCUAUAGGCUGCAGGGUGCUCACCGAGAUGCUAGACAAGGCUGGGGUUGUCUGCAGAGCCACAGCGACGGCGAAGCUCCAUGGCGGCAUGGCACAACUCCAGGGAUGACGUCGGCUGCUCGAUCUGUAAGGGGAGUCACCAAUAAGGUGCAUGCAAGAUGUCAAAGGCUAUCCAGGGAGGCCAUGCAUGAAUGGAAUUUGACUGAUGCUCACCAGAGAGAAUGGAUUCGAUGAUGGAAGCAGUUGAACGGAGUUGGAGAAGACGAUGUCGAUCUCCAAGAUCGCUGCGCCAUUGGAUGGGUUUCUUGGGGGUAAAUGGAGAGGCGGUCGAGGUGAAGCUGGUGGCGUGGUGGCUCGCUCCGGCUCAGUCUAGAUCGAUGGCAACGACGACGAUGCCGCCACGGCGGCGCCCGGUGCGUGCUCCAGAGCAUCGCCGGCGAGGUUUGCGUUCCCACCAAACCACUGCAUGAAAUGGGGUGAAACUUAGAGGGAUGGAAUCGGCGUGGAGAGGUGAUAAUGGGACGCAAGAGAAGAGGAAACGACCGCGGCGUAAUGGCGCUGGAGGCGGUCGUCGUCUUCACGGUCGGCGGUGAGGUUGAGAUGGAUAAGGGAGAUGGAGCUCUCCUUCUCGGUUUCUUCGGG